UACGAGGGGAGCAAGCGUUGUUCGGAUUUACUGGGCGUAAAGGGCGCGUAGGCGGUCGUGACAAGUCACUUGUGAAAUCUCCGGGCUUAACCCGGAAAGGUCAGCCGAUACUGCGGGGCUAGAGUGCAGAAGGGGCAACUGGAAUUCUCGGUGUAGCGGUGAAAUGCGCAGAUAUCAGGAGGAACACCGGUGGCGAAGGCGGUUCUCUGGGCGAUGUCCUGACGCUGGAGGAGCGAAAGUGUGGGGAGCGAACAGG
rnacentral:rRNA from 1 species